ensembl:lncRNA
GCCAGCAGCGCGAGUCCUCAGGGGCGGUUUGCUCCCCCAAACCCGGGACCUGUCGUCUGGGUCGUCUUUGAUCCUGCCCUUUUCCCUCUGCUUCUAGUCCGUUUCCACCUUGACCUUUGCCCUGUAGCUCCACUGCUUUGUACCUGCUCCCUGUCUGAAACUCUUCUAACCUGGAGGCUCAUUUUCCCCAUUCUGGAAACUCCCCAGUGUUUCCGGCUGCUCUUCGUUUCCUCUGUCCCCUGGAGUGCUGGUGAGACUGAACUCCACCAGCCAACCCGAGGCUCACAGACGCUUACAUUUAGGAGCCUCUUUCUUCCCAUUCUGCUUUCCAGACCUGCUUCCCAGCACUUGUCUUCCUCCUUUGGUGGUUUUUUACGGCAACGCCCACAUGGACGGUUUCUAGAAUCUGUUUGGUUCUUUAUAAAUACGUUGCUUUCUUUCUUUGCGUUCUUUGUGGAUGUUACUUUAUCAUAUAUUCCCUUAAGUUUCGCAGAUAUCGGGACUUCCCUGGUGGCCCAGCGGCUGAGACUCCAAGCUCUCGGGGCAGGGGCCGUGGGUUCAAUCCCAAUCCCCCAGGACAAAACUAAGACCUGGUUCAGCCAAGUAAAUAAACAAUGUUUUUAAAAAAGGUUCCCAAACACUUAAAACUUUUUCUAGAAUGUUCUACUUUUCCUAGAGUGAGCUCAUCUUUAGAUUGCUGCUUCUGAUGGUCCUUUAGCAGCUGGUCUACACGUGGGCCUUGGCAUGUUGGGUCGGUCGGCUCACCCCAGGUCGGGGGCCAUCUCCCUUGGUCUCUUGGCGCCUCUCCGCUCACCCCUCUCUCUGGCCUUGCCCUGGCCCACACAGGGCGCUCCUCCUGGAGUGCGUUCCUCCUCCUGGAGUGCGUUCCGGACGGGAGGUCUCCCAGAGGCAGCCACUGCAGGGCUCAGCUUGGUUCUAGGCCGGAGGAUGUGUCAAGGCUCCUCUCCUCCCGGGGCGUGCUCUGGAGUCCCCGACUUGACUGGAGCCCAGCUCCUGGCAGAUCCACUUCCUCAGGCCCCCAGGUCCAGCAGAGUUGGAGUCUCUGAGCAUAGACCUGUAACACCAUCACAACAGAAGCUGACCCAAGCCUUCCACUUCUCGGAAUCACUGCAAACGUCCGCAGAGCCUCGCUUAAGUUUCACCGGUCUUUCUCCUGACACUCUGGAUCUUCUGGAGCCUGAGGGCUCUCACUUUCAGCUCAUCACAGAACCUGGUUUCCAUAAGCCAAGUGAUCCUUGCUAACAGCAUCGUCAGGAAUAAAGCUCUUACUGUUAGAAUUCAGCUGACAAUAUAGCUGAUGACCCACAUGGCAUGCGUGCAACCUAGCUGGACAGCUCUGAACUGGAUGGAUACUGUGAUGUUCACCACAACAAACAAACAAAAAAACAAAAUCUCAAAACAGAAAACGACUUGAGUCUAUCAAGAAGCACAGGAACUAACAGGCAUAAAGGAGCAGAAUGUCGGAACAGGGAUGUGCUGUUUAUACGCAUAUGCUUUCCUGCAAGUCACCACACUUUAAUUUCGAGAAAGGAGGCCAGAGAUGUAUUGAAGAAUUCAUCCCCCCGUGGCACUGGUUCAACACCGCAGGCUUCUCUGCUGAAAAGCCUCCUUAUGAAGCUGAACUGUACCAGUGCUGCAGAAAAGAGGGCUGAAGACAAAACCCAGCAGGGAUGAUAGAAUUCUCAUCUUUCCCAGAAAAGAAGAAAUCCAAUUGGUGGAGAGGAGAACCGUCUCCACGCUGCAAAAGACAAAGUAAUGGCACAAAUAAAAAG